CCUACGGGAGGCAGCAGUGGGUAAUAUUGCGCAAUGGGCGAAAGCCUGACGCAGCGACGCCGCGUGAGGGAUGAAGGUCUUCGGAUCGUAAACCUCUGUCAGCAGGGCAGAACGGUCACUGUGCUAAUCAGCAGUGAAUUGACGGUACCUGCAAAGGAAGCACCAGCUAACUCCGUGCCAGCAGCCGCGGUAAUACGGAGGGUGCGAGCGUUAAUCGGAGUUUCUGGGCGUAAAGCGCUCGUAGGCGGUAUGUCAAGUCAAGGGUGAAAUCCCCGCGCUCAAGGUGGGAACUGCCUUUGAAACUGGCAAACUGGAGUGUGUGAGAGGAUAGUGGAAGUCCAGGUGUAGGAGUGAAAUCCGUAGAUAUCUGGAGGAACAUCAGUGGCGAAGGCGACUAUCUGGCACAUAACUGACGCUGAGGAGCGAAAGCGUGGGUAGCAAACAGGAUUAGAUACCCUUGUAGUC
rnacentral:rRNA from 1 species